rnacentral:rRNA from 1 species
CACGUAGGGCGCAAGCGUUGUCCGGAAUUAUUGGGCGUAAAGAGCUCGUAGGCGGUUUGUUGCGUCGGCCGUGAAAACUUGGGGCUUAACUCCAAGCCUGCGGUCGAUACGGGCAGACUUGAGUUCGGCAGGGGAGACUGGAAUUCCUGGUGUAGCGGUGAAAUGCGCAGAUAUCAGGAGGAACACCGGUGGCGAAGGCGGGUCUCUGGGCCGAUACUGACGCUGAGGAGCGAAAGCGUGGGGAGCGAACAGG